rnacentral:rRNA from 1 species
UACAGAGGGUGCGAGCGUUAAUCGGAAUUACUGGGCGUAAAGCGCACGUAGGUGGUUGAUUAAGUCGAUUGUGAAAUACCUGGGCUUAACCUGGGAACUGCAGUUGAUACUGGUCGACUAGAGUAUGGUAGAGGGAAGUGGAAUUUCCGGUGUAGCGGUGAAAUGCGUAGAUAUCGGAAGGAACACCAGUGGCGAAGGCGGCAUCCUGGACCGGUAUUGACGCUGAGGCGCGAAAGCCAGGGGAGCAAACGGG